rnacentral:pre_miRNA from 11 species
CUUCUGUGGCACUAAAGUGCUUAUAGUGCAGGUAGUGUCCACUCAUCUACUGCAUUACGAGCACUUCCAGUGCUGCCAGCU